AUGUUACAGGAGUGGAUUAGAUCGGACCUGUUUACUGCGCUCGGUCUGUGAAAGCAGCGCUGCGCCGUUUGUGCACAGUGGCCUCAUAGGGGAACUGUUCCAGACAAUCCUCACGCCAUACGACCCAAAGGAGGACAGUGACUACAGUGCUGCCUGGAGAGCUGGACAGGAGGGGGAGGACUGUUUCUCGCGCUACUCUCAGUGUCCUCACGGCCAAACUGUUCUUGACCACGUCUCUUACUAUAUGUGAACAAUAGGGAAAGAAAAACCACAACUCAA